UACGAAGGGUGCAAGCGUUACGUCGGAAUUACUGGGCGUAAAGCGUGCGUAGGUGGUGAGUUAAGUCUGUCGUGAAAGCCCCGGGCUCAACCUGGGAAUGGCGAUGGAUACUGGCUCGCUAGAGUGCGGUAGAGGAGAGUGGAAUUCCCGGUGUAGCAGUGAAAUGCGUAGAGAUCGGGAGGAACAUCAGUUGCGAAGGCGGCUCGUCUGGACCAGCACUGACACUGAGGCACGAAAGCGUGGGGAGCAAACAGG
rnacentral:rRNA from 1 species